AGAACAAGAUACAUCUACUGGCUUAAAACUUCUCCGUGAAGAAUCCGGCGAGGAGCCCCGAGGCACAGGCUGAUCUGGUGACCCUCCCAGAUACACUUUCUCUGCCGGAAGGAACUGGAUAUCGGAUGUGACAACACUGCAGACGGGAAAGUUGUUUUUUUUUUUUUUUUUUUUAUUCCCCCCGAAGAGCAGGGAUUGAGGAGAAAGUUAGAAUGACAGUGGCACUUUCUUGGCUCUGUACAUGGGUAUGAAUAUGACCAAACCAAAUGAAUGAAUAAUUACGAAUGUAUUAUGAAACAGAAGGGAAAACCCUGUUGCUGUGAUGCAUUCAAUUAUAUCACCGGUUACAUUCGGCCAAAGGAAAGUUAAGUAAGAAGGAGAUGGUUCAUCCUCCACAGUGCCACUCUCCUUCCUGGUCUCUUUGUAAUCCUCUGGACAUUGGAGCAUAAAUGUUUCAGGGGAAGUUUAUCUUUGUAUUAAGGAGAGGGGAAAGACUUUUGUGGCAUUAAAAUGGAAAGGGUUAAUGGAAUGAACUAUAGAUUAAAUUGUAAAGCAAUCAAAGAAAACCAAACAGUUUAUAGCAGACAACCAUCUUCUGGUGUUUGGGUCUGUGUCAAGCCAUGGAUGUGGAAAAUUAAAGCCAUACUGAGAAGGGAAAUGAACCAUGUCUAAUACAUCCCCAGCAAUAAAAUGUUUUCACUAGGACUGUAAAACUGUGGCUUACAUUAGGAAAAAGAAAAUCAAACUAUAUGUCAAUUCCACAUCAUGGGACAUGAAGUGUCCACAAAAAUUUAUAUUACUAUUUAGAAGUGUUUCAUUCUGGUGUUUUAUUGUGAUUGGAUGCGCCCUUCUCAGUAUCUUUUGACUGGUAUGAAAAUGAUUUGAACUACUUUUUUAGCAUUUAUUUUACAUCUAUUACCUGUUCUAUUACUUUUUAUUAUUUUAUUGUGCUUGUGUAGAGGAUUUUGCACAGUUUUCAUUAUAAUGUAACAUUAAGUCAAUUUAUUUGUGUAUUACACGCUGUAUAAUUGCACCUUUUUUUGUGGAACAAUUUGGAUUUCAUUAUCCAACAAAUCAGCAGUGUUACAUUUUGAAAAGCUCUUGUUAGAAAUCAAGUGCAUUUUCCAACUAAGACAACAGAGGUCAAGUUUGCACCAAGAAGAAAGUGGAAGAUUUCUUGCCUGAAACACUGGAACAGAUGAAGAAGGUCACAGUUGCAAUAGAAAUAUUCAUUUAUUUGAGAAAACAUUUAAUUACUACGGUCAACAUCAAUGGAGAUCAAUACCUGUAAGAAAGGAAAUACCAUGGAAGAAAGUGGUCUAAUACAGCAGGUUCAAAGAGGAACAGAUCAAGACAAGGCCAAAUGGAUGCAGAGAGUGUUUCAAAUGUAAAAAUGUUUUUGUUUAUUAUUCUUCUGUAUAAUUCUGUGCCUUAAUUUGCAAGUGUCAUAAAAAGUAUAGGUAAUAUAGGCAAAGAGAAGCGUACAUCUGCUUGUGUGCAUCAGCUUUCCCAUCAGGCAAGCUGGAUCAGGCUUAAACCUUCCAUAAGAGGUGGCGUAGCAGUGACUGCAUCUCCCUCAAAGGUGAAUUGGCAGCCCUCUGAAAAGAAAUGUAAAAUAAUGUUUUAAAUAUCACACCAAGAAAUAGAAUGGAUGUGAAGAUGUAAAUUUCACCUUUUUUUUUUUUUUUUUUUUUUAAUCUGUUGGAAUCACUACCUGAAUCUCUCAGUACUCCUCUAGUAGUUACAAUGGCUUAUCUCAGAAAAGUAAAAAUUAGUGCAUGAGUAAACAAAUCAGAAAACUGUGCUCUGAAAUUGUCAUAUUAAGAGACCUUUCCCCGCAUAGACCUCCUGUGUCAUUCAAGUGUCUUCUCAUGACACAGUGGGACCACCAGUUUUCUGCUUUCACGUUCUCUUAAUUUUCCAUUUAGCAGAAUUGUUUCAUUUAUUGUACUGGAUUUACAGGCAGAGAUUUAUGUGUGUGUGUCUGAUGGCUGAGCCCAACUAAUCUGGUUCACUUGAACUUCCAGUCUUGUCAUAGCAUGAGCAGUAAGACCUCCACGACUUCCAGAAAUUAGGAAAACGAUGGAAAUAACCUGCUUUUAGUGCUUUAAAUGUUGUCAACCUUUAUGGGGAAUUGAAGUCCCUUGUACCCAAAUGUUUGUAGGCAGUGAGAUAUGGUAUGGUAUUUUGCAAAUGUAUUUUUUGCUUGUAUUGGAAUGAUUUUGUUUCUGAUAGAUUUAUUCCUCUAAAAUAUUUUUCUGACAG
ensembl:lncRNA